rnacentral:rRNA from 1 species
AACUUUUAAAUUGAAGAGUUUGAUCAUGGCUCAGAUUGAACGCUGGCGGCAGGCCUAACACAUGCAAGUCGAACGGUAACAGGAAACAGCUUGCUGUUUCGCUGACGAGUGGCGGACGGGUGAGUAAUGUCUGGGAAACUGCCCGAUGGAGGGGGAUAACUACUGGAAACGGUAGCUAAUACCGCAUAACGUCGCAAGACCAAAGAGGGGGACCUUCGGGCCUCUUGCCAUCGGAUGUGCCCAGAUGGGAUUAGCUAGUAGGUGGGGUAACGGCUCACCUAGGCGACGAUCCCUAGCUGGUCUGAGAGGAUGACCAGCCACACUGGAACUGAGACACGGUCCAGACUCCUACGGGAGGCAGCAGUGGGGAAUAUUGCACAAUGGGCGCAAGCCUGAUGCAGCCAUGCCGCGUGUAUGAAGAAGGCCUUCGGGUUGUAAAGUACUUUCAGCGGGGAGGAAGGGAGUAAAGUUAAUACCUUUGCUCAUUGACGUUACCCGCAGAAGAAGCACCGGCUAACUCCGUGCCAGCAGCCGCGGUAAUACGGAGGGUGCAAGCGUUAAUCGGAAUUACUGGGCGUAAAGCGCACGCAGGCGGUUUGUUAAGUCAGAUGUGAAAUCCCCGGGCUCAACCUGGGAACUGCAUCUGAUACUGGCAAGCUUGAGUCUCGUAGAGGGGGGUAGAAUUCCAGGUGUAGCGGUGAAAUGCGUAGAGAUCUGGAGGAAUACCGGUGGCGAAGGCGGCCCCCUGGACGAAGACUGACGCUCAGGUGCGAAAGCGUGGGGAGCAAACAGGAUUAGAUACCCUGGUAGUCCACGCCGUAAACGAUGUCGACUUGGAGGUUGUGCCCUUGAGGCGUGGCUUCCGGAGCUAACGCGUUAAGUCGACCGCCUGGGGAGUACGGCCGCAAGGUUAAAACUCAAAUGAAUUGACGGGGGCCCGCACAAGCGGUGGAGCAUGUGGUUUAAUUCGAUGCAACGCGAAGAACCUUACCUGGUCUUGACAUCCACGGAAGUUUUCAGAGAUGAGAAUGUGCCUUCGGGAACCGUGAGACAGGUGCUGCAUGGCUGUCGUCAGCUCGUGUUGUGAAAUGUUGGGUUAAGUCCCGCAACGAGCGCAACCCUUAUCCUUUGUUGCCAGCGGUCCGGCCGGGAACUCAAAGGAGACUGCCAGUGAUAAACUGGAGGAAGGUGGGGAUGACGUCAAGUCAUCAUGGCCCUUACGACCAGGGCUACACACGUGCUACAAUGGCGCAUACAAAGAGAAGCGACCUCGCGAGAGCAAGCGGACCUCAUAAAGUGCGUCGUAGUCCGGAUUGGAGUCUGCAACUCGACUCCAUGAAGUCGGAAUCGCUAGUAAUCGUGGAUCAGAAUGCCACGGUGAAUACGUUCCCGGGCCUUGUACACACCGCCCGUCACACCAUGGGAGUGGGUUGCAAAAGAAGUAGGUAGCUUAACCUUCGGGAGGGCGCUUACCACUUUGUGAUUCAUGACUGGGGUGAAGUCGUAACAAGGUAACCGUAGGGGAACCUGCGGUUGGAUCACCUCCUUACCUUAAA